rnacentral:rRNA from 1 species
GAUGAACGCUGGCGGCGUGCCUAAUACAUGCAAGUCGAGCGAACAGACGAGGAGCUUGCUCCUCUGACGUUAGCGGCGGACGGGUGAGUAACACGUGGAUAACCUACCUAUAAGACUGGGAUAACUUCGGGAAACCGGAGCUAAUACCGGAUAACAUGUUGAACCGCAUGGUUCAACAGUGAAAGACGGUCUUGCUGUCACUUAUAGAUGGAUCCGCGCCGCAUUAGCUAGUUGGUAAGGUAACGGCUUACCAAGGCAACGAUGCGUAUCCGACCUGAGAGGGUGAUCGGCCACACUGGAACUGAGACACGGUCCAGACUCCUACGGGAGGCAGCAGUAGGGAAUCUUCCGCAAUGGGCGAAAGCCUGACGGAGCAACGCCGCGUGAGUGAAGAAGGUCUUCGGAUCGUAAAACUCUGUUAUUAGGGAAGAACAAAUGUGUAAGUAACUAUGCACGUCUUGACGGUACCUAAUCAGAAAGCCACGGCUAACUACGUG